rnacentral:rRNA from 1 species
AACGAACGCUGGCGGCAGGCCUAACACAUGCAAGUCGAACGCCGUAGCAAUACGGAGUGGCAGACGGGUGAGUAACACGUGGGAACGUACCCUUCGGUUCGGGAUAACUCAGGGAAACUUGAGCUAAUACCGGAUACGUCCGAGAGGAGAAAGAUUUAUUGCCGAGGGAUCGGCCCGCGUCUGAUUAGCUUGUUGGUGAGGUAACGGCUCACCAAGGCGACGAUCAGUAGCUGGCUGAGAGGAUGAUCAGCCACAUUGGGACUGAGACACGGCCCAAACUCCUACGGGAGGCAGCAGUGGGGAAUAUUGGACAAUGGGCGCAAGCCUGAUCCAGCCAUGCCGCGUGAGUGAUGAAGGCCCUAGGGUUGUAAAGCUCUUUUACCCGGGAAGAUAAUGAC